UUUCCGUAGGUGAACCUGCGGAAGGAUCAUUAAAGAGAAUAUGCCCUUCGGGGUAGAUCUCCCACCCUUCGUUUAUAUUACCUUUGGUGCCUUGGUAGGCCCGUCUUCGGACCACCGGCUUCGGCUGGUCAGUGCUUGCCAGAGGACCCAAAACUCUUAUUAUUAAUGUCGUCUGAGUACUAUAUAAUAGUUGAAACUUUCAACAACGGAUCUCUUGGUUCUG
rnacentral:misc_RNA from 1 species